CAACCUGGCGGCGUGCCUAAUAAUGCAAGUCGAGCGGAACCUUUGGAGCUUGCUCCAUUGGUUUAGCGGCGGACGGGUGAGUAACACGUGGGCAACCUGCCCUGCAGAUCGGGAUAACUCCGGGAAACCGGUGCUAAUACCGAAUAGUUUGCGGCCUCUCCUGAGGCUGCACGGAAAGACGGUUUCGGCUGUCACUGCAGGAUGGGCCCGCGGCGCAUUAGCUAGUUGGUGGGGUAAUGGCCCACCAAGGCCACGAUGCGUAGCCGACCUGAGAGGGUGAUCGGCCACACUGGGACUGAGACACGGCCCAGACUCCUACGGGAGGCAGCAGUAGGGAAUCUUCCGCAAUGGACGCAAGUCUGACGGAGCAACGCCGCGUGAGUGACGAAGGUUUUCGGAUCGUAAAACUCUGUUGUGAGGGAAGAACACGUACCAAUUAACUACUGGUACCUUGACGGUACCUCACCAGAAAGCCACGGCUAACUACGUGCCAGCAGCCGCGGUAAU
rnacentral:rRNA from 1 species